UACAGAGGGGGCAAGCGUUGUUCGGAAUUACUGGGCGUAAAGGGCGCGUAGGCGGCCUUCUAAGUCGAACGUGAAAUCCCCGGGCUCAACCCGGGAACUGCGUCCGAUACUGGAAGGCUUGAAUCCGGGAGAGGGAUGCGGAAUUCCAGGUGUAGCGGUGAAAUGCGUAGAUAUCUGGAGGAACACAGGUGGCGAAGGCGGCACCCUGGACCGACACUGACGCUGAGGAGCGAAAGCCAGGGGAGCAAACGGG
rnacentral:rRNA from 1 species